AUCCAGCUGAAAAGUUCCACACAGGACGAAACGCGUGUCCUGGAU
rfam:Schistosoma mansoni strain Puerto Rico chromosome 4, complete genome